rnacentral:rRNA from 1 species
UAAAAACCCCGACUUCGGAAGGGGUGUAUUUAUUAGAUACAAAACCAAUGCCCUUCGGGGCUCUUUGGUGAUUCAUGAUAACUAUACGAAUCGCACGGCCUUGCGCCGGCGAUGGUUCAUUCAAAUUUCUUCCCUAUCAACUUUCGAUGUUUGGGUAUUGGCCAAACAUGGUUGCAACGGGUAACGGAGGGUUAGGGCUCGACCCCGGAGAAGGAGCCUGAGAAACGGCUACUACACCCAAGGAAGGCAGCAGGCGCGCAAAUUACCCAAUCCCGACUCGGGGAGGUAGUGACAAUAAAUACUGAUACAGGACCCUUUCGGGCCUUGUAAUUGGAAUGAGUACAAUUUAAAUCCCUUAACGAGGAACAAUUGGAGGGCAAGUCUGGUGCCAGCAGCCGCGGUAAUUCCAGCUCCAAUAGCGUAUACUAAAGUUGUUGUGGUUAAAAAGCUCGUAGUUGAACCUUGGGCCUGGCUGGCCGGUCCGCCUCACCGCGUGCACUGGUCCGGCCGGGCCUUUCCCUCUGUGGAACCCCAUACCCUUCACUGGGCGUGGCGGGGAAACAGGACAUUUACUUU